UCCGGUAUGGUGUAACGGCUAACAUUACCGCCUUUCAUGUAACCCCACGACUGGCGCGCGGUAGCUCGGGGUUCGAUUCCCCGUACCGGAA